UUUCAGCGGUUUGAUGGGCGUUGUUAUACUGCUGAAAGAAUUCGUGGUUUAUGAUAUUCAUAACUUUUAUAUUUUUUUAAGUAAAACUUCUUUUCGUUAUGUGCGAAGUCAUGGUGGGGGAAGCCAAAUCGGCACUAGCGUACGCAGUGGUCAAUUUCGGGGUUACAAACGCUGUUUUCAAAGUUUUAGUAAGCGUAUACACGUAAAAUUGCAAUUAGGUUCCAAUUUAUAACAUAAAAUGAGCCAGCGGAGUUGCUGUGUUGUGAACUGCGAAAAAACAUCAAGAAAAAAUGAGUGUGAAUAUAAAUUUCCGACUGCUCAAUGAAAAAUAAAUCAAAGAAAUAAAUGUAUAGUCGCAGUGUGAAGGCAAAGUCUUACAUAUGCGCACGCACACGCACACACACACACAAACGCAGGCGCGCGCGCAGCAGGCAGUCAGGGUGUCUAGUAGUCAGGGAAUUCUGGAAAACCGGGAAUAGUCAUGGAAUUUCAACUUUUGGGAAAAGUCAGGGAAAGGGUGGAGAUUCCGCCAGAAACCAUUUUCAGGUUGUUGGAAAUAUGACAAACGAUGCGGCUGUAGCUGGCACGUGAUUAUAGUUGACAGAUACGGAAGACAGAUGUCGCGAUCAGUAUUUUCGAUCAUCGCCGAUUCGAUAACAAGAUUCUCGAUCGACAGAAUUUGAAUUUUCGAAUGCCGGGCCUAAACUCGAAGGAAGUCGAGCGAUGUAUUGAUAUUUGAUCCGAUAAUACUUAAUAAGGAAUAAACAUUUUUUUUUAUUUAUUUUUUAUUUGUGAAACGAUCUUAAUGUUUUUAGCCAAAUAAAGUUCGAUGGCCGAUAGUUUCCGAUGAAUUAUAUGCUGCAGAAAACAAUGAAAACAACAAUAAUGAAUAUAUAAAUGUAAAUCGAAUAUUUUAUUCAAUAAAGUUAUUAUCGAA